rnacentral:rRNA from 1 species
UUCCAGACUCCUACGGGAGGCAGUAGUGGGGAAUAUUGCACAAUGGGGGAAACCCUGAUGCAGCGGCGCCGCGUGAGUGAAGAAGUAUUUCGGUACGUAAAGCUCUAUCAGCAGGGAAGAAAAACCGGCCUUAGGGCCGCCAGACGGUACCUGACUAAGAAGCCCCGGCUAACUACGUGCCAGCAGCCGCGGUAAUACGUAGGGGGCAAGCGUUAUCCGGAUUUACUGGGUGUAAAGGGAGCGUAGACGGCAGCGCAAGUCUGGAGUGAAAUGCCGGGGCCCAACCCCGGAACUGCUUUGGAAACUGUGCAGCUCGAGUGCAGGAGAGGUAAGCGGAAUUCCUAGUGUAGCGGUGAAAUGCGUAGAUAUUAGGAGGAACACCAGUGGCGAAGGCGGCUUACUGGACGGUGACUGACGCUGAGGCUCGAAAGCGUGGGGAGCAAACAGGAUUAGAUACCCGAGUAA